ACACACAGCACAUGUAUGUGACAGGUACACAGGUGACUGUAUAUGCACAGACGGCAGUAAUAGGACAGCAGUAAGAAGACAAGUCAGAGGACAGCAGUAAAACCACUGCAGCUGAGAAGGUCCUGGAGAACCAUUAAGGGUCAUAUAAACAUCACAAUCACCUUGAAGCGACAGAAAUCUCAUCUUCUCAAAGCAAGAAGAACAUAAAACAUCCCAAAGGAAAGAGGUGACGAGAACUUCUUGCCACUAUGUGGACGGUGGGGAGAUUCGCACUCUUUCUUUUGACUGCCACAGCAAUAAAAGGCCAAAAUACAAACGAAACGACUACAACUCCAACGGCAACCGAAAACACAACCACUCCGACCACAACAGUGACAUCAGGUACUACAGAAAUGAUUACAAUGACAACGACAACCGAAAGCACAACCACGCCGACCACUACUGCGACGUCAACUACAACUGAAACGACUACUACUCCAACGACAACCGAAAGCACAACCACUCCGACCACUACUGCAACGUCAACUACUCCUGAAAUGACUACAACUCCCACAACAACCGAAACCACAAACACUCCAACCACGACCGCGACGUCAACCACUACUGAAACGACUACAACUCCCACAACAACCGAAAGCACAACCACUCCGACCACUACCUCUGCGUCAACUACUACUGAAAUGACUACACCUCCCUCGACAACUGAAACCACCACCACGCUGAGCACUGCCGCGAUAUCAACAGCUACUGCAACGACUACAACUCCCACGACAACCGAAAGCAUCACCACGCCGACCACUACCGCGACUUCAACUACUUCUGAAACGACGUCAACUCCCACGACAACCGAAACCACCACCACGCCGACCACUGCUGCGGUGUCACCCACUUCCGCGACGUCAACUAUUACUGAAAUGACUACAACUCCCAUGACAACCGAAAGCACAACCACGCCGACCACUACCGUGGCCUCAGCUACUACUGAAACGACCACCACGCUGACUACUGCUGCGGCGUCAACCACUUCCACGACGUCAACCACUACUGAAACGACAACUCCCAUGACAACUGAAAGCAUAACCACGCCAACCACUACUGCGACGUCAACUUCUACUGCAACUACUACAACUCCCACAACAAUCGAAAGCACAACCACCACGCCGACCACUGCCGCGGCGUCAACCACUUCCACGACGUCAACUACUACUGCAACGACUACAAUUCCCACGAGAACUGAAACCACCACCACGCCGACUACUGCCGCAGCGUCAACCACUUCUGCGACGUCAACUACUACAGCAAGGACAACAACUCCCACGAUAACCGAAAGCAUAACCACGCCAACCACUACUGCAACGUCAACUACAACUGAAACGACUACUACUCCAACGACAACCGAAAGCACAACCACUCCGACCACUACCGCAACGUCAACUACUCCUGAAAUGACUACAACUCCCACAACAACCGAAAGCACAACCACUCCGACCACUACCGCGACGUCAACCACUACUGAAAUGAUUACACCUCCCACGACAACCGAAACCACAAACACUCCAACCACGACCGCGACGUCAACCACUACUGAAACGACUACAACUCCCACAACAACCGAAAGCAUAACCACACCAACCACUACUGCAACGUCAACUUCUACUGAAACUACUACAACUCCCACGACAACCGGAACCACCACCACGCCGACCACUGCUGCGGCAUCACCCACUACCGCGACGUCAACUACUACAGCAACGACUACAACUCCCACAACAACCGAAAGCACAACCACUCCGACCACUACCUCUGCGUCAACCACUACUGAAACGACCACAACUCCCACAACAACCGAAAGCAUAACCACACCAACCACUACUGCAACGUCAACUUCUACUGAAACUACUACAACUCCCACGACAACCGGAACCACCACCACGCCGACCACUGCUGCGGCAUCACCCACUACCGCGAUGUCAACUACUACUGAAACGACAACAACUCCCACGACAAUCGGAACCACCACCACGCCGACCACUGCUGCGGCAUCACCCACUACCGCGACGUCAACUACUACAGCAACGACAACAACUCCCACGACAACCCAAAGCACAACAGCUCCGACCACUACCUCUGCGUCAACUACUACUGAAACGACAACAACUCCCACGACAACCGAAACCACCACCAUGCCGAACACUGCCGCGACGUCAACCACUACUGCAACGACUACAACUCCCACGACAACCGGAACCACCACCACGCCGACGACUGCCGCGGUGUCAACCACUUCUGCGACGUCAACUACUACAGCAACGACAACAACUCCCACGAUAACCGAAAGCAUAACCACGCCAACCACUACUGCGACGUCAACUACAACUGAAACGACUACUACUCCAACGACAACCGAAAGCACAACCACUCCGACCACUACCGCAACGUCAACUACUCCUGAAAUGACUACAACUCCCACGACAACCGAAACCACAAACACUCCAACCACGACCGCGACGUCAACCACUACUGAAACGACUACAACUCCCACAACAACCGAAAGCACAACCACUCCGACCACUACCUCUGCGUCAAUCACUACUGAAAUGACUACAACUCCCACGACAACCGGAACCACCACCAUGCCGAACACUGCCGCGACGUCAACCACUACUGCAACGACUACAACUCCCACGACAACCGGAACCACCACCAUGCCGACCACUGCCGCGACGUCAACCACUACUGAAACGACUACAACUCCCACAACAACCGAAAGCAUAACCACACCAACCACUACUGCAACGUCAACUUCUACUGAAACUACUACAACUCCCACGACAACCGGAACCACCACCACGCCGACCACUGCUGCGGCAUCACCCACUACCGGAACGUCAACGACUUCUGAAAUGACUACAACUCCCACGAGAACCGAAACCACCACCACGCCGACCACUGCUGCGGCAUCACCCACUACCGCAACGUCAACUACUAAAGCAACGACUACAACUCCCACAACAACCGAAAGCACAACCACUCCGACCACUACCUCUGCGUCAACCACUACUGAAACGACCACAACUCCCACAACAACCGAAAGCAUAACCACACCAACCACUACUGCAACGUCAACUUCUACUGAAACUACUACAACUCCCACGACAACCGGAACCACCACCACGCCGACCACUGCUGCGGCAUCACCCACUACCGCGAUGUCAACUACUACUGAAACGACAACAACUCCCACGACAACCGGAACCACCACCACGCCGACCACUGCUGCGGCAUCACCCACUACCGCGACGUCAACUACUACAGCAACGACAACAACUCCCACGACAACCCAAAGCACAACAGCUCCGACCACUACCUCUGCGUCAACUACUACUGAAACGACAACAACUCCCACGACAACCGAAACCACCACCAUGCCGAACACUGCCGCGACGUCAACCACUACUGCAACGACUACAACUCCCACGACAACCGGAACCACCACCAUGCCGACCACUGCCGCGACGUCAACCACUACUGAAACAACCACAACUCCCACAACAACCGAAAGCAUAACCACACCAACCACUACUGCAACGUCAACUUCUACUGAAACGACCACAACUCCCACAACAACCGAAAGCAUAACCACUCCGACCACUACCUCUGCGUCAACCACUACUGAAACGACCACAACUCCCAGAACAACCGAAAGCAUAACCACACCAACCACUACCGCGACGUCAACUUCUACUGAAACUACUACAACUCCCACGACAACCGGAACCACCACCACGCCGACGACUGCCGCGGUGUCAACCACUUCUGCGACGUCAACUACUACAGCAACGACAACAACUCCCACGAUAACCGAAAGCAUAACCACGCCAACCACUACUGCGACGUCAACUACAACUGAAACGACUACUACUCCAACGACAACCGAAAGCACAACCACUCCGACCACUACCGCAACGUCAACUACACCUGAAAUGACUACAACUCCCACGACAACCGAAACCACAAACACUCCAACCACGACCGCGACGUCAACCACUACUGAAACGACUACAACUCCCACAACAACCGAAAGCACAACCACUCCGACCACUACCUCUGCGUCAACCACUACUGAAAUGACUACAACUCCCACGACAACCGGAACCACCACCAUGCCGAACACUGCCGCGACGUCAACCACUACUGCAACGACUACAAAGCCCACGACAACCGGAACCACCACCAUGCCGACCACUGCCGCGACGUCAACCACUACUGAAACAACCACAACUCCCACAACAACCGAAAGCAUAACCACACCAACCACUACUGCAACGUCAACUUCUACUGAAACUACUACAACUCCCACGACAACCGGAACCACAACCACGCCGACCACUGCUGCGGCAUCACCCACUACCGGAACGUCAACGACUACUGAAAUGACAACAACUCCCACGACAAUCGAAACCACAACCACCACGCCGACCACUGCCGCGGCGUCAACCACUUCCACGAUGUCAACUACUACUGCAACGACUACAACUCCCACGACAACCCAAAGCACAACAGCUCCAACCACUACCGCGACGUCAACUACUACAGCAACGACAACAACUCCCACGACAACCGAAACCACCACCAUGCCGACCACUGCCGCGACGUCAACCACUACUGAAACGACCACAACUCCCAUGACAACCGAAACCACCACCACGGCGACGACUGCCGCGAUGUCAACAGCUACAGCAACGACAACAACUCAAACAACAACCGAAAGCAUAACCACACCAACCACUACCGCGACGUCAACUUCUACUGCAACUACUACAACUCCCACGACAAUCGAAACCACAACCACCACGCCGACCACUGCCGCGGCGUCAACCACUUCCACGACGUCAACUACUACAGCAACGACAACAACUCCCACGACAACCCAAAGCACAACAGCUCCGACCACUACCGCGACGUCAACUACGACUGCAACGACUAAAACUCCCACGACAAUCGAAACCACCACCACCACGCCGACUACUGCCGUGGCGUCAACCACUUCUGCGACGUCAACUACUACAGCAACGACUACAACUCCCAUGACAACCGAAACCACCACCAUGCCGACCACUACCGCGACGUCAACCACUACUGAAAUGACCACAACUCCCUUGACAACCGAAACCACCACCACGGCGACCACUGCCGCGAUGUCAACAGCUACAGCAAUGACCACAACUCCCACAACAACCGAAAGCAUAACCACACCAACCACUACUGCAACGUCAACUUCUACUGAAACUACUACAACUCCCACGACAACCGGAACCACCACCACGCCGACCACUGCUGCGGCAUCACCCACUACCGCGAUGUCAACUACUACUGAAACGACAACAACUCCCACGACAAUCGGAACCACCACCACGCCGACCACUGCUGCGGCAUCACCCACUACCGCGACGUCAACUACUACAGCAACGACAACAACUCCCACGACAACCCAAAGCACAACAGCUCCGACCACUACCUCUGCGUCAACUACUACUGAAACGACAACAACUCCCACGACAACCGAAACCACCACCAUGCCGAACACUGCCGCGACGUCAACCACUACUGCAACGACUACAACUCCCACGACAACCGGAACCACCACCAUGCCGACCACUGCCGCGACGUCAACCACUACUGAAACAACCACAACUCCCACAACAACCGAAAGCAUAACCACACCAACCACUACUGCAACGUCAACUUCUACUGAAACGACCACAACUCCCACAACAACCGAAAGCAUAACCACUCCGACCACUACCUCUGCGUCAACCACUACUGAAACGACCACAACUCCCAGAACAACCGAAAGCAUAACCACACCAACCACUACCGCGACGUCAACUUCUACUGAAACUACUACAACUCCCACGACAACCGGAACCACCACCACGCCGACGACUGCCGCGGUGUCAACCACUUCUGCGACGUCAACUACUACAGCAACGACAACAACUCCCACGAUAACCGAAAGCAUAACCACGCCAACCACUACUGCGACGUCAACUACAACUGAAACGACUACUACUCCAACGACAGCCGAAAGCACAACCACUCCGACCACUACCGCAACGUCAACUACUCCUGAAAUGACUACAACUCCCACGACAACCGAAACCACAAACACUCCAACCACGACCGCGACGUCAACCACUACUGAAACGACUACAACUCCCACAACAACCGAAAGCACAACCACUCCGACCACUACCUCUGCGUCAACCACUACUGAAAUGACUACAACUCCCACGACAACCGGAACCACCACCAUGCCGAACACUGCCGCGACGUCAACCACUACUGCAACGACUACAAAGCCCACGACAACCGGAACCACCACCAUGCCGACCACUGCCGCGACGUCAACCACUACUGAAACAACCACAACUCCCACAACAACCGAAAGCAUAACCACACCAACCACUACUGCAACGUCAACUUCUACUGAAACUACUACAACUCCCACGACAACCGGAACCACAACCACGCCGACCACUGCUGCGGCAUCACCCACUACCGGAACGUCAACGACUACUGAAAUGACAACAACUCCCACGACAGUCGAAACCACAACCACCACGCCGACCACUGCCGCGGCGUCAACCACUUCCACGAUGUCAACUACUACUGCAACGACUACAACUCCCACGACAACCCAAAGCACAACAGCUCCAACCACUACCGCGACGUCAACUACUACAGCAACGACAACAACUCCUACGACAACCGAAACCACCACCAUGCCGACCACUGCCGCGACGUCAACCACUACUGAAACGACCACAACUCCCAUGACAACCGAAACCACCACCACGGCGACGACUGCCGCGAUGUCAACAGCUACAGCAACGACAACAACUCAAACAACAACCGAAAGCAUAACCACGCCAACCACUACUGCGACGUCAACUUCUACUGCAACUACUACAACUCCCACGACAAUCGAAACCACAACCACCACGCCGACCACUGCCGCGGCGUCAACCACUUCCACGACGUCAACUACUACAGCAACGACAACAACUCCCACGACAACCCAAAGCACAACAGCUCCGACCACUACCGCGACGUCAACUACGACUGCAACGACUAAAACUCCCACGACAAUCGAAACCACCACCACCACGCCGACUACUGCCGUGGCGUCAACCACUUCUGCGACGUCAACUACUACAGCAACGACUACAACUCCCAUGACAACCGAAACCACCACCAUGCCGACCACUACCGCGACGUCAACCACUACUGAAAUGACCACAACUCCCUUGACAACCGAAACCACCACCACGUCAACCACUACUGAAAUGACCACAACUCCCUUGACAACCGAAACCACCACCACGGCGACCACUGCCGCGAUGUCAACAGCUACAGCAACGACCACAACUCCCACAACAACCGAAAGCAUAACCACGCCAACCACUACUGCGACGUCAACUUCUACUGCAACUACUACAACUCCCACGACAACCGGAACCACCACCACGCCGACCACUGCUGCGGCAUCACCCACUACCGCGACGUCAACUACUACUGCAACGACUACAACUCCCACGACAACCGAAACAACCACCACCCUGACAAGUACAACGAUGUCAACUACUACUGAAACGACAACCACUCCCACGACAACCGGAACCACCACCAUGCCGAACACUGCCGCGACGUCAACCACUACUGCAACGACUACAACUCCUACGACAACCGGAACCACCACCAUGCCGACCAGUGCCGCGACGUCAACCACUACUGAAAUGACAAAUCCCACGACAACCCAAAGCACAACAGCUCCAACCACUACCGCGACGUCAACUACUACAGCAACGACAACAACUCCCAUGACAACCGAAACCACCACCAUACCGACCACUGCCGCGACGUCAACCACUACUGCAACGACUACAACUCCUACGACAACCGGAACCACCACCAUGCCGACCAGUGCCGCGACGUCAACCACUACUGAAAUGACAACUCCCACGACAACUGAAAGCACAACCACGCCGACCACUGCCGCGACUUCAACUACUACUGCAACGACAACAACUCCCAUGACAACCGAAACCACCACCAUGCCGACCACUGCCGCGAUGUCAACAGCUACAGCAACGACAAC
rnacentral:lncRNA from 1 species